rnacentral:lncRNA from 11 species
UAUAAGAGAUGCAUGAGAGAGAACUGUUUAUUUCACUUGGCAAUGGCCCGCUGCAAGGAGGGCAGGGAUAGCAGAAGGAUCCAGAAUGUUUUGACAGUUUCUCAGCACAUCAGCCAUGUUCCAGGAUGCUGACACUUCCUUACAAAAGCUUAAGCCACACAACAAACUUUGACUUUAAGACGUCACAGUACUCUUUUUAGUUUAAUGAGUCCCUCUCCUCCGCCACCCUUGUCACCGAAAUGGCUUGCUAGAAGGUGCAUCCUUUGACUUGAAAAGCUCUUCCUCACGCUGCAGUUUCUUGACUCUGAGUUAGAAUUUCCUUUUAGUCUGCGGAGGUGCGUGUUUUAUGUGUGUGUCGUUUCCUUUUGCUCUUUCUCAGAGAAACCCACACUUAGUUCUCUCCUGUUGUUGGGCAGAGUUUCCAAUUCCGUAGCUUUCUCCUCCACAGGCCCGGGCUUAAUCCUCGUUCCCACAGCUUCUUGACAGCUCUCUUUAUGAUUCACUUUCUUUCGCUCUGCGCAGCUGUCUAUGCUUGCAUUUAAUCACCUCUUAUUCCUGGAGGCAUCCCAGCUUCAGGCAAGGGGGAAGAGAAGUUUCCGCCAUCCAGCUUUAAGAAGCUCUUUGCUGACUCCUCUGGUCAUGGCCUACUUCACAGGUUUAGAGCAGAAAGUUGACAUGAUUAUUUAAUUUUUUUAAAAAGGAAGUAGGUUAUUUUCUUCCAGUACAAUAAACCUAUGGAGGAUACUUUCCAAGACACACACCAUGGAGGCCUGGAACUGCGGAUCCAACCGGAGUAUCCCUUAUCAGAAAUGCUUGGGACCAGCAGUGUUUUGGGUUUUUUUUUAAUUUUUGAUUUUUCAUAUUUUGGAAUGUCUAUAUUUACAUCUAUGUACAUCAUGGGAUAUCCUGGAGAUGAGACCUGGACACAUGGCCUGGAGUCUUCCUGA